GCAGUGAUGAUUUUAGUGGUAGAAGUCUUGCCCUCCAUGCAAGAGACCCGGGUUCAAUUCCCGGCCAGUGCA
rnacentral:tRNA from 1 species